CUUAUCCAGAGUGGCUGAGGGACAGGCCCGAUGACGCCCGGCAACCGGUCGGCAGAAAUGUCGGCAAGGUGCCAAUUCCUGCGGCAGGGGGAAAACCCCGAAGCCGAAAGAUGAG
rnacentral:ncRNA from 1 species